GACGAACGCUGGCGGCGUGCUUAACACAUGCAAGUCGAACGGUGAAGCGCCUUCCUUUUUGGUGGGUGUGGAUGAGUGGCGAACGGGUGAGUAACACGUGAGUAACCUGCCCCCUUCUUCUGGAUAACCGCAUGAAAGUGUGUCUAAUACGGGAUAUUCUGGGUCUGUCGCAUGAUGGGUCUGGGAAAGAUAUUGUUUCGGUGGGGGAUGGGCUCGCGGCCUAUCAGCUUGUUGGUGGGGUGAUGGCCUACCAAGGCGGUGACGGGUAGCCGGCCUGAGAGGGUGGACGGCCACACGGGGAAGGAGACACGGCCCAGACUCCUACGGGAGGCAGCAGUGGGGAAUAUUGCACAAUGGGCGCAAGCCUGAUGCAGCGACGCCGCGUGAGGGAUGGAGGCCGUCGGGUUGUGAACCUCUUUCGCCAGUGAAGCAGGCCUGCCUCGUUUGUGGGUGGGUUGACGGUAGCUGGAUAAGAAGCGCCGGCUAACUACGUG
rnacentral:rRNA from 1 species